rnacentral:lncRNA from 1 species
UGAUUGUUACUUGUCAGUUGGAGGACAGAAUACAUGAUGUGAUGACUAAUCAACAAUAUUGUCAAGAAACUGAUGGAGUCAAAAAUCAUUGAAGUAAUUUAUAUAGAGCUGCACUAUGGACCGAUUCAUGUAUACUAAAGUUCUCCCAGUUUCUUUGAAAAAAUCUAAAAAUCUAAAAUAUCAAAAUUAAAAACAAAGGAGUUAAUUGGAAACUGCAUGAAAAAUGAAAAGGAAUCACCUUAAACAAUGAGAUUUCGACAAAUGACAACAAGAAUAAGAAGAUUUUGCCUCGCCUCCAUGACCUGUAAAUUCUUUAUCUUUUUCUAAGAAAGAUAGGGGAAGAUACUAUCUAGGUUAAUCUGAUUAAGAUGAUGAAAUAAAAGCCACAAUAGAAACCCCCAGUGAGGUAUAGACUAACAAAAGCACAAAAAUGGAUGAGGGUAAAAAAUGAAAACCAAAGACUGAUACACACCAUGAGAUUCAAAAAUUACAGACUGAGAAAAGCCUUAAAGACCAAAAUUCGGAGAUAAACCUCCUAGACAUAGCCUGCUUCCACAAAAUUAUUUUAUCUUACUUUUCAGAAGUUGAAAACUUUCGAAGGGACUGACAUUUAUGAGCUGAAGGCUAAGUGACAGAUAAAUAUUCUAAAAGCCAAAAAAACAAAGAAUUAUAUGAAAAGGAGCUGCCACUUGGCUUAAUAUGCAAUAACAUAAUCAAGUUGGAUCUCAUGAUCUAUAUAUAGGAUUGUAUGACACGAUCCAUAAUGCAGAUCUUAUGACCCUUUUGCAAGGAUGCAAGUAGGAACAUUAAGGGCAUUCUGAUCUGGAUUGUAGAAGUUUAUAUCUUGAAC